rnacentral:ncRNA from 1 species
GAUCCGUAACUUCGGGAUAAGGAUUGGCUCUGAAGAUUGAGGUGGUAUGGCUUCAUUGGGAACCAAUAAUAUGGUUUAUGUACUCAUUCUGGGUAAGUAGAGAUUUUCGGAUCUUUUUCCUCGAAUGUCAGUUAUGUAGUCAAUUGUGGAACAUUCUUGCUAAAAAUUUUAAGGGAUUAUCGUAAGAUACAUUCUUUUGAAAUCAUAACCAUUAUCAAUUAACAAUCAAUUCAGAACUGGCAC